UGAAUACGAGACGCUAAGGCGUCGAAGUAGUGUAUGUCAUACUUCCAAGAAAAGCUUGCACUGUCAUAGAUAAAAAACGCCUGUACCAUAACCGACACAGGUGGGUAGGUAGAGUAUACUAAGGGGCGCGAGAUAACUCUCUCUAAGGAACUCGGCAAAAUAACUUCGUAACUUCGGGAGAAGGAGUGCCUUAUUCGUAAGGUUGCAAUAACAAGAUCCAAGCAACUGUUUAUCAAAAACACAGGUCUCCGCUAAGUCGUAAGACGAUGUAUGGGGGCUGACGCCUGCCCAGUGCCAGAAGGUUAAAGAAGUUGGUUAGCAAUUGCGAAGCUGAUAACUGAAGCCCUGGUGAACGGCGGCCGUAACAAUAACGGUCCUAAGGUAGCGAAAUUCCUUGUCGGGUAAGUUCCGACCCGCACGAAAGGCGUAAUGAUUUGGAUACUGUCUCGGAGAGGGGCUCGGUGAAAUAGACUUGUCUGUGAAGAUGCGGACUACCUGCACCAGGACAGAAAGACCCUAUGAAGCUUUACUGUAACUUGAAAUUGAAAUUGGACUUUAUUCGCGCAGUAUAGGUGGGAGGCGUUGAUUAUAAUCUUGUGGGAUUAUUGGAGCCAUCAGUGAGAUACCACUCUUGUAAUGUUAGAUUUCUAACUUUGAAUCAUUAUCUGGUCAAAGAACAGUUUCAGGCGGGCAGUUUGACUGGGGCGGUCGCCUCCUAAACGGUAACGGAGGCGUACAAAGGUUUCCUCUGAACGGUUAGAAAUCGUAUCUAGAGUGUAAAGGCAUAAGGAAGCUUGACUGUGAGACCUACAAGUCGAGCAGGGACGAAAGUCGGUCUUAGUGAUCUGACGGUACUGAGUGGAAAGGCCGUCACUCAACGGAUAAAAGUUACUCUAAGGAUAACAGGCUGAUCUCCCCCAAGAGUUCACAUCGACGGGGAGGUUUGGCACCUCGAUGUCGGCUCAUCGCAUCCUGGGGCGGUAGUACGUCCCAAGGGUUGGGCUGUUCGCCCAUGAAAGCGGUACGCGAGCUGGGUUCAGAACGUCGUGAGACAGUUCGGUCCAUAUCCGGUGUAGGCGUUAGAAUAUUGAGAGGAGCCUUCUUUAGUACGAGAGGACCGAGAAGGACAUACCUCUGGUGUACCAGUUAUCGUGCCAACGGUAAACGCUGGGUAGCUAUGUAUGGAGUGGAUAACCGCUGAAAGCAUCUAAGUGGGAAGCCCACCUCAAGAUAAGUAUUCAC
rnacentral:rRNA from 1 species